CAGAGAUGCCCUCGGCCUCGACAUCAAAGAGUCGUCGCACGAAUUCGAUGCGCUCCUCGGUGACACUGUCUAGGUCCUUGAGUCUUCGAGCCCACUCUCGAUCAGCGGCCGACGAUUCAGAGACGCCGACGACGCCCAGACGCGCCUCGAUCUCCUCGGCCGUCUCUUCGGGUUCGCUGUGGAGGGCCUCGCGAAGGCGUGCGAUCCUCGCACGCACUUCGGCCCUUGCCGCCUCGGGCAACGCCGGCCCCAUGGCGCGCUCAAAGGCCUCUUCGCGCGCCAGCCGUGUCAGCAAUUCGCGCACCGGACUCGAAUGGGGGUCCAUGGUCGGAUCGCCACACUCCCACUGGCGGGCCUCGUAGCCGCGGAGGCCUGUUACGGGCACGCGGAGGACGCCCGCGCCGCCGGCCAACUCGCAAAAGUAGUUGAGCGCGCGGCCGCCCGGCACCACGCGUCUCUCGGGCGCGGCAUAGCCGCCUCGGUAGGCCGUACCCAUGUACCGUUGCUCCUCCUCCUCAUCCUCUUCGUCUUCGUCCCCCGUGGUGGCCACGACAGUCACGAGCCCUGUGGCGCGCGAGAUCGAGUCGUGCGUCGGAAUGGCAUAGAGGGCGACAGCAGCGGCCGGCACCAAAAACGACCGACCCGGCAGCAGGCCAAACUCGACGUCGUAAAAGUCGCGACCGCGGUCGUCGGUCGUGCGACCGGCCACGGCAAAGCCCUCGACCGUUGUAGCGCCCAGCGGACGCAUGGCGUCGGGCACCGCGGCGGCGAGAUCGUUGGGUACGGGCGCCCGCACCACCACG
rnacentral:lncRNA from 1 species